AGACCUGGCCGACGCAGGUCAAAGUGCAGUAUCUGUUCUCAACAGCUUAAUAUCUGACAUGAAUUGCAUUUGCACCGAAGACAUUAAACUUAUUUUUGCAUGUUGGCGGAAUGCUAGACGCCUGCUGCACCUCCGCCACGGGUGUGCCCAGUCUUGCACUGUCUUCGGGAUCGGCCCGCGGUUU